GCGCCGCCUGAGCCGCGGUGCGGGCUGCGCGGGGCGCCGGUUCCGCGUAAGCCUGGGUCGGGCGCUGCGUGCGGGACUCUCGUCGCGCGUGGACAGGGAGCGAGCGUGCGGGGGACGUAGGGCGCCGACCUGAGGCUCCCCGGCGCUCCGGCUCCGCUCAGGGCGCCCGCUCAGGGGCCUCCGGCGCGAGGCCCCCUUUGUGGUCAAGAUGGCGGCGCCCAGGCGGGCCGCGCCGAGGUGAGCUGGAGCCGGGCCGGGAGAGGGGCGAGUCUGCCACGCCCAGGACUUGGACCCCGGGCUGGUCUCCCGUCUCCCGGGGAGCGGCGGCUACGGGAUAAGGAAAAGGAUGUGAAGCUCACUGAAGAGGCUUGGGUUGGGAGUGCUGGAGGAGUGUACAGGUGGGGAAAAUGUACCAGUGUGUAUGCCUACUGGGACCACGUUUUCCAGAACAGUUAAGCCCAGUGUCAACUAUGCUGUCCCACCUUCCUCUUCCAGAAAUGACGUCUGCUGAAGGAGAACAUGUUCUAGCAAUGAAAUCUUCAAAAGACUCCUGCUGCUGCUCUGUGACUGCGACCCCCAGGUUGUCUUUGGAAGUUUCUAAGGCCUCCUGAGUAGAGACUGGGACAUGGAAGGAGUCGACAGGCAAAGGAAUCCCAGCAUCACCUGUAAUUUUCUGAAACUGGAGGGAAAGACAAAAGACAAGACAAAAAUUCAGUGAUGAACAAAGCCAACCAUUAAAAUGUAGAGUUCAAAACUUCA